rnacentral:rRNA from 1 species
AUCCCAGUUCGGAUUGCAGGCUGNAACCCGCCUGUAUGAAGUUGGAAUCGCUAGUAAUCGCGGACCAGCAUGCCGCGGUGAAUACGUUCCCGGGUCUUGUACACACCGCCCGUCACACCAUGGGAGUCGGAAAUGCCCGAAGUCAGUGACCCAACCGGAAGGAAGGAGCUGCCGAAGGUGGAGCCGGUAACUGGGGUGAAGUCGUAACAAGGUACC